ensembl:rRNA 5S_rRNA 5S ribosomal RNA
GUGUACAGCCAUACCACCCUGAACUCACCUGAUCCUAUUUGUUCUUGGAAACUAAGCAUGGUCAGCCCUAUGGGAGACAAGGCAUUUCUGAAUCCAUUCCUUUUGGGGUUUGUGUUAG